rnacentral:rRNA from 1 species
AUUCCCCUAGUAACGGCGAGUGAAGCGGGAAGAGCUCAAAUUUGUAAUCUGGCACUUUCAGUGUCCGAGUUGUAAUCUCGAGAAGUGUUUUCCGCGCCAGACCGCAUACAAGUCUGUUGGAAUACAGCGUCAUGGUGGGUGAGAACCCCGUAACUGAUGCGGAUGCCUGGUGCUCUGUGAUACACUUUCGAAGAGUCGAGUUGUUUGGGAAUGCAGCUCAAAUUGGGUGGUAAAUUCCAUCUAAAGCUAAAUAUUGGCGAGAGACCGAUAGCGAACAAGUACCGUGAGGGAAAGAUGAAAAGCACUUUGGAAAGAGAGUUAACAGUACGUGAAAUUGUUGGAAGGGAAACGCUUGAAGUCAGACUUGCUAUUUGGAUUUCAGCCGCAAGGUGUAUUAUUCAAUUCGCAGGCCAGCAUCAGUUUUUGGGGGUGGAAAAGGGUAUUGAGAAGGUAGCAACUCCGGUUGUGUUAUAGCUCUUUACUGGAUUCAUCCUUGGGGACUGAGGAACGCAGCACGCUUUUUGCAAGGCUCUCGAGCUUUUUCGUGCUUAGGAUGCUGGUGGAAUGGCUUUAAACGACCCGUCU